rnacentral:rRNA from 1 species
GUGAGGAAUAUUGGUCAAUGGACGAGAGUCUGAACCAGCCAAGUCGCGUGAAGGAAGACGGUUCUAUGAAUUGUAAACUUCUUUUGUGCAGGAAUAAAGUGGGUUACGUGUAACCUUUUGUAUGUACUGUACGAAUAAGGAUCGGCUAACUCCGUGCCAGCAGCCGCGGUAAUACGGAGGAUCCGAGCGUUCUCCGGAUAUAUUGGGUUUACAGGGUGCGUAGGGGGAUUGAUAAGUCAGCGGUGAAAGUUUGCAGCUUAACUGUAAAAUUGCCGUUGAAACUGUCGGACUGGAGUGCAAAUGGGGUAGGCGGAAUGUGUUGUGUAGCGGUGAAAUGCUUAGAUAUAACACAGAACUCCGAUUGGGAAGGCAGCUUACUGGGAUGCAACUGACACUGAUGCACGAAAGCGUGGGUAUCAAACAGGAUUAGAAACCCGUGUAGUCC